rnacentral:rRNA from 1 species
CCCAGACUCCUACGGGAGGCAGCAGUGGGGAAUAUUGCACAAUGGGGGGAACCCUGAUGCAGCGACGCCGCGUGGGUGAAGGAGCACCUCGGUGCGUAAAGCCCUAUCGGCAGGGAAGAAACCGACGGUACCUGACUAAGAAGCCCCGGCUAACUACGUGCCAGCAGCCGCGGUAAUACGUAGGGGGCAAGCGUUAUCCGGAUUCACUGGGGGUAAAGGGAGCGUAGACGGCGACGCAAGUCUGGAGUGAAAGGCCGGGGCGCAACCCCGGGACUGCUCUGGAAACUGCGGCGCUGGAGUACGGGAGGGGCAGGCGGAAUUCCCGGUGUAGCGGUGAAAUGCGUAGAUAUCAGGAGGAACACCGGCGGCGAAGGCGGACUGCUGGGCCGUGACUGACGUUGAGGCUCGAGAGCGUGGGGAGCAAACAGGAUUAGAUACCCCAGUAAA